rnacentral:rRNA from 1 species
ACGCUCGACACCUACGGGAGGCGAGCAGUGGGGAAUAUUGGGCAAUGGGGGCAACCCUGACCCAGCAACGCCGCGUGAAGGAAGAAGGCUUUCGGGUUGUAAACUUCUUUGACAAGGGACGAAAUAAAUGACGGUACCUUGAAAACAAGCCACGGCUAACUACGCGCCAGCAGCCGCGGUAAUCUGAGCGGGCUGGCAAGGC